GCACCUCAGGGACCUCCUCACCCACAGUGACAUUGGCAGAGAGUGGGGACAGGGCUUCUGAGAACAACUGGCUGAGGGAUGCAGGCUGGCAGAGCGCCUUGUCCACAAGCUUAGCCCAGAAAACCUGGAAGACGAUGAAGAUGAGGAAGAACAAGAAUCACUGACCCCCAGGUAACAGUGAAUGAGGAGGGCUAAUAAGCAAGGGUAAAAUGUGGGGAGAGUACCUGAAAGAAAGACCCUGAGGGCCAAAUAGCCCCAGGUUUCACAUGCCAGGGGGAGCCAACACUGCUCCUGGUGCUGAUUUCAGUCACUCCAGCAACGAUGGCAAAGCCCUUUGAAUGAGGUUGUCUGUUGUCUUUGCGGUACUUGUGGCCUCAGUCUGACAAGGGGAACUAAGCAGUCUCAGGGAUUUCCUGCCCUGAAAGAAAUCCCUUGUUCUCUCUUGGAAGGCUAAAACAAGGAUGAGAUGCAUGUCUGCUUUCCCAACUGUUGGCCUUAUGUCCUUCAUAGGUAUAGCAUAGCCAGAAAGGAACUAGACAAAAUU